UACAGGGGGUGCAAACGUUGCUCGGAAUUAUUGGGCGUAAAGCGCGCGUAGGCGGCCACUUAAGUCGGAUGUGAAAGCCCCUGGCUCAACUGGGGAAGUGCACCCGAAACUGAAUGGCUUGAAUGCAAAAGAGGGUCGCGGAAUUCCCGGUGUAGAGGUGAAAUUCGUAGAUAUCGGGAGGAACACCGGUGGCGAAGGCGGCGACCUGGGUUGACAUUGACGCUGAGGCGCGAAAGCGUGGGGAGCGAACAGG
rnacentral:rRNA from 1 species